CGCUCGCCACUGCCCUUAUGAUCUAGCGUUGGUCGGCUAGUCGUGAGUGCCAGCAACCACUUUGUUAUCGGCUUGAGUUUCUGGCAUUUGGGCUUCCAGUGGCAGCUUUGUCCGGUUUUUGGUCAUUUCAGGCAGUAAAGGAAGAGUGAAGAAUUCCAGCAGCCAACAGCCCUUAACGGCAGCCCUCAUUCCAGCAUUUCUUUGUUCCAGCAGCAAUCAACCUAAAUGGGGCAGUAACUCUUCAAUUCCAGCAUCUUCUUGUUCUUGAAUAAAGCUGUGGAACUUGAGGACCUUGACGCGAGACGAGUAUCUCGGAGUCAGAUUGGACCUUUCUAUUUUCGGAGGC